GAUGAACGCUGGCGGCGUGCCUAAUACAUGCAAGUCGAGCGAAGCGGGGACGGGGGAGUAAAACGUGGAUAACAUCCUAUAAGACUGGGGUAACAUCGGGAAACCGGAGCGAAACCGGAUAAUUAUGGUUGGAUCCACGCUGCAUUAGCUAGUUGGUAAGGUAACGGGUUACCAAGGCAACGAUGCAUAGCCGAACUGAGAGGGUGAUCGGCCACACGGGAACUGAGACACGGUCCAGACUCCUAAGGGAGGCAGCAGUAGGGAAUCGUCCGCAAUGGGCGAAAGCCUGACGGAGCAACGCCGCGUGAGUGAUGAAGGUCUGCGGGUCGUAAAACUCUGUUAUUAGGGAAGCGGUACCUAAACAGAAAGCCACGGCUAACUACGUGCCAGCAGCCGCGGUAAUUC
rnacentral:rRNA from 1 species